AUUACGUAUCACGCUACGAUGCUACGAUGCCGGAGCGGAAACUACAACUCUUUUCACACUCAAGGUAACAACAAGUGAAAGUUGCACCACGAAUAUCCAAAGAAACUGAGUAACUGGAAUACGAGUAAAAGUUAUCACCCACGACGGCAGAGUGACAAUUUAGCACUUACACAAGGCCGAGAGAAAUAUGAGUGCGACACAGCUAGACCUCUACACCGGUGUCGCACAGUUUUUUUUAUAGCCCAACCAGGGUUAUAACUAUUGUGAGUUUAUGACUACCAUCAAGCCGAACCACGUCGCACCAGGAGAAGAAGUUAAAGUGUGACACAAUGACAUUUUGGCGGUUAUCACCUAAACAAGGCUGAGAGAAGCACGCCACGGUUUGAUGGUACGUGCCGAAACAUUGAACAACAAACAAUAAAACGCUGCCGGCCAAUGUGAAUUAUGAGAAACAUUUGAGAACAUGAAUCGAACUGCCGCAAUCCCACACCACACCCAAGCACUUCGAGAAGCUUCUACCGAUGUCUCCACGCCAGAUGCAAGAAUUUCUAGAAUGUUCUGCUGCCGUUCUCACGCCGGAGCGAGAAGCUUCUAACCUUCAUUUAUCCAUGAAAAGCUGGAGAGGACGACAGUAUUGCACCAUCGCACGCAACUAGGCAUUGACCACACUUGGGCCAUGCAUUCCUCCAGAUGCAUAAAUACCGAACACUUUGGACAGAGAGACUGACACAGUUCCACGGUGCUGCAUGACCGAUCGCGACGCUGUUAAACGACCAGUACUGCUCUCACCUGCUGCUCUCGCUGCUCGUCACCGUCGCCGCCGGACAUCUCUGACUGCCUGCUGCUCUUAGGUCGUAAGAUAUGAAUUAUUUAUUUGUAACGCGUAUUUGAUUAUUGGCCUGCGUGCCACCUAUGAUUGUAUGUGAUUAUCACGCUGAUGUUGAUUAUUAAAGGAUAGAGUAACGGUAAUGAUUCUGUGGUUAUAUCAUUAUACUGCCUACAGCUUUAGUGCAAUUGCACACGUGUCUACUGUUCGCGAACCUGGUCACACUAUACGAUCACACGUGCCUGUUAUACGAUCACACACGAGCUCUGUCAUAAUAAAAAUAAAAAUUAAUAAUAACACCAUUAAAGCUUUGCGGUGCGAGAAUUCAAGAUAUGAUGACGUGAGUAUAUAUCAUAACAUUUGUAUCACAUGGAGUUACUGAGUCACGUUCAAGAAACAAACAAUAUAUUAGCUGUAUAUUGUCUUGGUUACAAUGUCAUAGUUUAAUCCGAUCGCAUCUGCAAAGACAACACACUCUAGAUAAUUAUAAUGAAAAUGCUUUUCAUGCGCGCGCGGAUGUACUGUGCAUGCACAGUUCCACACCUUCGCUUGACCAAACUCCACGACAGAUGGCGCUCUCGCACUGGCUCAAAUAAAAUCUGUGAAUUUAGCCAAAGCGAGAGCGCCAUGGAAUGUAAGCUCCACCACGCACGCACGCACACACGCACGCUGAACUGUCGGAAAUGAGCAUACACUACGCGCGUGUUCCAACUCGUUAUAAAUAAACUUAGUGCUAUUGUCA